CGGACGGGUGAGUAAUGCAUAGGAAUUUGCCUUGAAGUGGGGGAUAGCCCGGAGAAAUCCGGAUUAAUACCGCAUAUGUUCUACGGAACAAAGUGGGCCUCUGAUUUAAGCUCAUGCUUUGAGAUAAGCCUAUGUCGGAUUAGCUUGUUGGUAGGGUAAAAGCCUACCAAGGCGACGAUCCGUAGCUGGUUUGAGAGGACGAUCAGCCACACUGGGACUGAGAUACGGCCCAG
rnacentral:rRNA from 1 species